ACCAGGCUGGGCUCACUCGGUAGAGCAUGUGACUCUUGAUCUCAGGUCGUGAGUUCGAGUCCCACGUUGGGCA
rnacentral:tRNA from 1 species